CUCCCCCUCCUCCCACCCUCCCUCCCGGGCGGCCGGGCCCUUCCUCCCUCGCACGCCUCCUCUUCUCCCUCCUCUUCCUCCUCCUGGAGCCCGGCUCACCGCGGCGGCCCUGCGGCGGCGUCUCUGCGCACCUCUCCGGCUCGGGCCCCGCGAGCGCGCGGCGGCUCGGCGCCCGGGGCGCACCCGGCGAGCAGCGACAGUCGCGGCGUCCCGAGCGCCCGCCGGCAUGGCCACCGUGGUCGGCCCUGGAGCCCCGAGGGCGAGACGGCUGCACCUCCGGCCCCAGUUUUGAGUGCGGAGAGUGGCGGCCACCCCCGAAGCUCGGGCCCGAGGGGAUUGCUGCAGCCUCGGCUGGGGCACCCGCGGGAUCGAACCCCGGAAAAGGGAAGCAAAUGCAUGGAACCUCCGCAAACUGGAUGAGAAUCCAUCUUCCACUCGAGCUGGGAAUAGAUUUUGUGAAAGAUAUUAUGUAAUGGAGUCUCGGGAAGCUCGAGACGCCUCCAGCGAAGCUGCUGGUGAAUUAAUUAAGUGCGUUAAACGGUCUAGGUUUUGUUGCUCUGCUGUCUGUGCCGAGGUGCUAUAUUAUAGGAGGAGGUGAAUGGAACGUAAUAGCUGAAUGUUUCUCCCUUGAGUAAGGCCGAAUCCUGGAUUACUACAAAUCUUGACAUGACUAGCCCCGUAUAUCUCAUGCAUCAUUUCUGUCAUCUGCCAUUGCCCUUUUCUUUCCCAAGCUCGUGGACAAAAGUGAUGGGUUUUAAUUUUUUCAUUUAUUGUGAAUGUACUAAUAAAGAAGAUGUGUGGUAAAUAUUCUUUGUGAUAAACCAGAUAAAGAAGCAACUGAAGGGAUUGAAAAUGCAUCGCGUGGAGAAUUGUUUCUCUUCUGGGGCUGUCAGAAAAGGUUCUUGCAGUGAUGAGCUCUGUAGUGGCCCACCAUCUACAGGAUGUGUACCAAGGUCAAUAAAAUUAGUGAA